CCCCUCUCUGAGGAUGCGGCGGUGCGCACGUAAGGCGCCCCGGGGCGGGGCCGAGGCCGAGGCCGGCGAGCUGUCGUGGCAAGGGAGAUUGAGCUGCAAGAAUGAAUAAGAAGGUUAAGGGACUUGCAUAAGAUCACACAGCAAGUCAAUUUUAGAGCUGGAAACAGUAGCCAUAUCUCAACUUCCAGAUAAUAAAUUUGAGACCUCCGAAGCAUGCUCAUAGAGAAGAUCACUUGGACAGCAGUCAUUCCUGUCCCACAACCAAAGGAAGCCAGAAGGCAGAAGAUUCUGGAAGCAAACUGCUAGCUAGACAGUAUCCAGCAAAAACAGAAGUGACCCUCCGGAGUGCGGAUAAAACCUUAAAAAGAGUUGAAUGCUGCGUGGAGAAAAGCCAGCAUUUAAACUUUUAUCUAUGCAAGCACAUUAAGAAAGAGAGUUAUUCCUACUGAUCCACUGGAAAAGAGUUGAAUAAAGUUAUAACAGAACAUGCCAGUUGAAAAUUCCAUUUUAACACAGCGGUGCUCUCAAGCAUGAAGAAGUUUAACAGAAGGCCUAUUCAGAAAAUGUUUCAGUCACAAGAAUGAAUGUCCAGUGAGCAAGUAUCGUGCAUGAAGCUAAACCAGAGAGGAAAAGUGCUUUGCUUACGUUAAGCCACAUGAACAUAUGAAGUAACUCAAUGUCUUGUUAUACAGAGCUCUAAAAGAAAAAACCAUGCAAGCACUUUUUGUGAUGGGCCUUAGUAUUCCAGCUGUGCGGACCUCACUGCAUCACUCUGGAAUAGGUAUUUUUCCUAAGCUGUGUAAAAACACUCAAUUGGGCAACAUGAACAGAGGGUGUCAACUCCAAAGGGACUGGCUUUCAACAUACACAGAAAAGCUACGCUUCAGCUUCCUAGAUCAAUAAGAUGGCAGCUGGAAGAACUUGCACAGCCUCUGAGCCUCCCGAGAAACAAAACUGGCAUCUCAUAUUGCACAAUUUCAACAGUACUCAACUCAGAAAAGUGGGAGUGGCGUGUGUCCAGACCUGUACACAGCACGAGGAUUUCAGUGUGACUGAAGGUUUGAAAGAAUCUUCAUGCUACUGUGCAUUAAUAUUUAGCAUUAAAGAUUAGUUAUGAAUCAUGGUCUUACAAGAAAUCUGAUGUAUAUGUAUAAAC